ACGCUCGACACCUACGGGAGGCAGCAGUGGGGAAUAUUGCACAAUGGGGGAAACCCUGAUGCAGCGACGCCGCGUGAGUGAAGAAGUAUUUCGGUAUGUAAAGCUCUAUCAGCAGGGAAGAAGAUGACGGUACCUGAGUAAGAAGCCCCGGCUAACUACGUACCAGCAGCCGCGGUAAUCUGAGCGGCUGGCAAGGC
rnacentral:rRNA from 1 species